rnacentral:misc_RNA from 1 species
AACGCAACAUUUGAGUUUUAAUUCUGUUUCUCUAGUUAUGUUUUUGUAUUGGAUUUUAUUUAGAAAGUUUUGUUAUUCACUCAUUUCUUAAGUGAAAACGAUGAUUUAUGUAUUUAAAGCUCGAAACCUAUUAGAAAUUUGUUAAUACAGUCUUACUCUAUACGUAUACGGUUUCUGCGACGUAGCCUGAGGAGCUCUUUAAUCACUUGACGAGAUAUUAAAACCAUAGCCAAUAUAUCGGCACAAAUCAGCAUGUUAAACACAUUCUCCCAACCGCU